rnacentral:misc_RNA from 1 species
GAUGAAGAACGUAGCGAAAUGCGAUAAGUAAUGUGAAUUGCAGAAUUCUGUGAAUCAUCGAGUCUUUGAACGCACAUUGCGCCUCAUGGCAUUCCGUGAGGCAUGCCCAUCUCAGCGUUAGAAAAUAUUCUCAAAUUUUAGUUUUGUGCUAAAAUUUGGAUCAUGUCAAAGAAGCUAUUACUAUUAUUGUGAUCGCUCUUUGGAAAUUGAUAGGUCUUUGAGUUGUUACUCAUAGAACGUGAUGAAUCUUUCUUCGUUCUAUUGUAAUUCACUCUGGUAGUCCUAAAACUUGUAUGCCUGUGGCAUAUCUUGUAAUUUGACCUGAGAUUGGGUAGGGAUACCCGCUGAACUUAAGCAUAUCAAUAAGCGGAGGA